GAGUUUAUAAUAUAUUUUAGUAUGUUAAAUUGUUGAUUUAAAUGUUUUAGGACUCU
rnacentral:tRNA from 2 species